AGAGUUUGAUCCUGGCUCAGAAUGAACGCUGGCGGCGUGCUUAACACAUGCAAGUCGAACGAGAAAGGGAUUGCUUGCAGUCCCGAGUAGAGUGGCGCACGGGUGAGUAACACGUAGAUAAUCUGCCUUCAAGCCUGGGAUAACUAUUCGAAAGGGUAGCUAAUACCGGAUAAAGUCGAUCUACACAAGUAGAUUGAUGAAAGAUUGCCUCUUCUUGAAAGCAAUUGUUUGGAGAUGAGUUUGCGUACCAUUAGCUUGUUGGUGGGGUAAAGGCCUACCAAGGCAACGAUGGUUAGCUGGUCUGAGAGGAUGAUCAGCCACACUGGAACUGGAACACGGUCCAGACUCCUACGGGAGGCAGCAGUGAGGAAUUUUGCGCAAUGGGGGCAACCCUGACGCAGCAACGCCGCGUGAGUGAAGAAGGCCUUUGGGUCGUAAAGCUCUGUCAACAGGGAAGAAGUUACAAUUGUUUAAUAGAUGGUUGUAUUGACGGUACCUGUGGAGGAAGCGCCGGCUAACUCCGUGCCAGCAGCCGCGGUAAUACGGGGGGCGCAAGCGUUAUUCGGAAUUAUUGGGCGUAAAGGGCGCGCAGGCGGUCUUGUCCGUCAGGUGUGAAAGCUCGGGGCUCAACCCCGGAAGUGCACUUGAAACAGCAAGACUUGAAUACGGGAGAGGAAAGCGGAAUUCCUGGUGUAGAGGUGAAAUUCGUAGAUAUCAGGAGGAACACCGAUGGCGAAGGCAGCUUUCUGGACCGAUAUUGACGCUGAGGCGCGAAGGCGUGGGUAGCAAACGGGAUUAGAUACCCUGGUAGUCG
rnacentral:rRNA from 1 species